rnacentral:rRNA from 1 species
UAUGGGGGGGGCAAGCGUUGUUCGGAAUUACUGGGCGUAAAGGGCUCGUAGGCGGCCAACUAAGUCAGACGUGAAAUCCCUCGGCUUAACCGGGGAACUGCGUCUGAUACUGGAUGGCUUGAGUGUGGGAGAGGGAUGCGGAAUUCCAGGUGUAGCGGUGAAAUGCGUAGAUAUCUGGAGGAACACCGGUGGCGAAGGCGGCAUCCUGGACCACGACUGACGCUGAGGAGCGAAAGCCAGGGGAGCAAACGGG